rnacentral:rRNA from 1 species
UACAUGGGGUGCAAACGUUGCUCGGAAUCAUUGGGCGUAAAGCGCGCGUAGGCGGGUACUUAAGUCGAAUGUGAAAGCCCUCGGCUUAACUGAGGAAGUGCAUCCGAAACUGAGUAGCUAGAGUACGAAAGAGGGUCGCGGAAUUCCCGGUGUAGAGGUGAAAUGCGUAGAUAUCUGGAGGAACACCGGUGGCGAAGGCGGCAUCCUGGACCAACACUGACGCUGAGUGAGCGAAAGCCAGGGGAGCAAACGGG